UACGUAGGGUGCAAGCGUUGUUCGGAAUUACUGGGCGUAAAGGGCUCGUAGGUGGCCAACUAAGUCGGACGUGAAAUCCCUCAGCUUAACUGGGGAACUGCGUCCGAUACUGGAUGGCUCGAGUUUGGGAGAGGGAUGCGGAAUUCCAGGUGUAGCGGUGAAAUGCGUAGAUAUCUGGAGGAACACCGGUGGCGAAGGCGGCAUCCUGGACCAACACUGACACUGAGGAGCGAAAGCCAGGGGAGCAAACGGG
rnacentral:rRNA from 1 species